GACGAACGCUGGCGGCGUGCUUAACACAUGCAAGUCGAACGGUAAGGCCCUGCUUUUGUGGGGUGCUUGAGUGGCGAACGGGUGAGUAACACGUGAGUAACCUGCCCUUGUCUUUGGGAUAACUUCAGGAAACGGGGGCUAAUACCGGAUAGGAGCUCCUGCUCCAUGGUGGGUGUGGGAAAGUUUCGGCGGGUGGGGAUGGACGCGGGGCUUAUGAGUUUGUUGGUGGGGUAGUGGGUUACCAACGCGUUGACGGGUAGCGGGACUGCGAAGGUGAACGGCAAAAAAGGGACUGGGAGACGGCCGAGAGGGCUACGGGGGACAGUGGUGGGGAAUCUACAGCACUGGGCGGACGCCGGGUGCAGAGUCGUCGGGGGCGAGAUGUCGGUUGUCGGAUUAUAAAACGGUUUCGACUAUGACGAGGCUGGAGUGACGGUAAUGGGUAAAGAAGCACCGGCUAACUACGUG
rnacentral:rRNA from 1 species